rnacentral:rRNA from 1 species
AGCGAACGCUGGCGGCAUGCCUAACACAUGCAAGUCGAACGAGACCUUCGGGUCUAGUGGCGCACGGGUGCGUAACGCGUGGGAACCUGCCCUUAGGUUCGGAAUCACUCCCCGAAAGGGGUGCUAAUACCGGAUAAUGUCUUCGGCCCAAAGAUUUAUCGCCUUUGGAUGGGCCCGCGUUGGAUUAGCUAGUUGGUAGGGUAAAAGCCUACCAAGGCGACGAUCCAUAGCUGGUCUGAGAGGAUGAUCAGCCACACUGGGACUGAGACACGGCCCAGACUCCUACGGGAGGCAGCAGUGGGGAAUAUUGGACAAUGGGCGAAAGCCUGAUCCAGCAAUGCCGCGUGAGUGAUGAAGGACUUAGGGUUGUAAAGCUCUUUUACCCGGGAUGAUAAUGACAGUACCGGGAGAAUAAGCUCCGGCUAACUCCGUG